rnacentral:rRNA from 1 species
UACGUAGGGCGCGAGCGUUGUCCGGAAUUAUUGGGCGUAAAGAGCUCGUAGGCGGCCUGUUGCGUCUGCUGUGAAAUCCCGGGGCUUAACCCCGGGCGUGCAGUGGAUACGGGCAGGCUGGAGGCAGGCAGGGGAGAAUGGAAUUCCCGGUGUAGCGGUGAAAUGCGCAGAUAUCGGGAGGAACACCGGUGGCGAAGGCGGUUCUCUGGGCAGUAACUGACGCUGAGGAGCGAAAGCGUGGGGAGCGAACAGG